AUUGGACGCUGGCGGCAUGCCUUACACAUGCAAGUCGAACGGCAGCACGGGAGCAAUCCUGGUGGCGAGUGGCGAACGGGUGAGUAAUACAUCGGAACGUGCCCAAUCGUGGGGGAUAACGCAGCGAAAGCUGUGCUAAUACCGCAUACGAUCUACGGAUGAAAGCAGGGGAUCGCAAGACCUUGCGCGAAUGGAGCGGCCGAUGGCAGAUUAGGUAGUUGGUGAGGUAAAGGCUCACCAAGCCGUCGAUCUGUAGCUGGUCUGAGAGGACGACCAGCCACACUGGGACUGAGACACGGCCCAGACUCCUACGGGAGGCAGCAGUGGGGAAUUUUGGACAAUGGGCGAAAGCCUGAUCCAGCCAUGCCGCGUGCAGGAUGAAGGCCUUCGGGUUGUAAACUGCUUUUGUACGGAACGAAACGGCCUUUUCUAAUAAAGAGGGCUAAUGACGGUACCGUAAGAAUAAGCACCGGCUAACUACGUGCCAGCAGCCGCGGUAAUACGUAGGGUGCAAGCGUUAAUCGGAAUUACUGGGCGUAAAGCGUGCGCAGGCGGUUAUGUAAGACAGUUGUGAAAUCCCCGGGGCUCAACCUGGGAACUGCAUCUGUGACUGCAUAGCUAGAGUACGGUAGAGGGGGAUGGAAUUCC
rnacentral:rRNA from 1 species